rfam:Gossypium raimondii Chr13_contig_219, whole genome shotgun sequence.
CAAAAGGAAACGCUUUGUCCACUUGGAUAGAAAACGCGUCCUUGAGGGCGCGCUUUCUGUCCACGUGGACAAAGCGCUUCCUUGAGG